CAGCCGCCGCGGUAAUACAGAGGGUGCGAGCGUUAAUCGGAUUUACUGGGCGUAAAGCGUGCGUAGGCGGCUUCUUAAGUCGGAUGUGAAAUCCCUGAGCUUAACUUAGGAAUUGCAUUCGAUACUGGGAAGCUAGAGUAUGGGAGAGGAUGGUAGAAUUCCAGGUGUAGCGGUGAAAUGCGUAGAGAUCUGGAGGAAUACCGAUGGCGAAGGCAGCCAUCUGGCCUAAUACUGACGCUGAGGUACGAAAGCAUGGGGAGCAAACAGGAUUAGAGACCCCUGUAGUCCCUGUCUCUUAUAC
rnacentral:rRNA from 1 species